AUUUGUCUGGUUAAUUCCGAUAACGAACGAGACCUUAACCUGCUAAUUAGAUCCUUUUAUCUUAUAAUCGGUAUCUUCUUAGAGGGACUAUGUAAAUCAAUUACAUGGAAGUUUGAGGCAAUAACAGGUCAGUGAUGCCCUUAUAUGUCCUGGGCUGCACGCGUGCUACACUGAUGCAUACAACAAGUGCCUAGCCAGACAUGGUAUGGCAAUCUCGAAUAUGCAUCGUGAUGGGGAUAGAUCUUUGCAAUUAUAGAUCUUGAACCGAGGAAUUCCUAGUAAGUGCAAGUCAUCAUCUUGCAUUGAUUAUGUCCCUGCCCUUUGUACACACCGCCCGUCGCUCCUACCGAUCCCGGGUGAUCCGGGGAACCUUUUGGACUCCGUACGGGGGAAGAUAAGUAAACCAUAUCACCUAGAGGAAGGAGAAGUCGUAACAAGGUUUCCGUAGGUGAACCUGCRGAAGGAUCA
rnacentral:rRNA from 1 species